rnacentral:rRNA from 1 species
GAUGAACGCUGGCGGCGGGCCUAAUACAUGCAAGUCGAGCGAAGCGGGGACGGGUGAGUAAUACGUGUCUAACCUCCUAUAAGACUGGGAUAACUUCGGGAAACCUGAUCCCAACCCGAUCCUUAUUGAUGUAUCCGCGCUGCAUUAGUUAAUUGGUAGGGUAACGGCUUACCAAGGCGACGAUGCGUAGCUGACCUGAGAGGGUGAUCAGCCACACUGGAACUGAGACACGGUCCAGACUCCUACGGGAGGCAGCAGUGGGGAAUCUUCCGCAAUGGGCGAAAGCCUGACUGAGCAACGCCGCGUGUGUGAAGAAGGUCUUCGGAUCGUAAAGCACUGUUAGUAGGGAGGCGGUACCUAAACAGAAAGCAACGGCUAACUUCGUGCCAGCAGCCGCGGUAAUAC